ensembl:lncRNA
CUACAUGUGACCAGUGGCAGACAAGCAAGUAGUUUGCCCUUGCUGCCAGAAUAGCCAAGCCUCCAAACUAUCCAAUCUCCUGCUUUCCAAAGUCCUCGCCCAUGGAACAGUGACACUGUCAUCUGAGGAUAGAUAUCCAAGGGAACAUAUUCAGACUGAUGGGCAUGCUGACAGAUUACACAACGGCACUCGAGGCCAGACUUUCACCUGCUUUGGCAUUGCCGCACACGUGCCGUCAUGAACUCAAACAGAGGUGCAUUCGAGGAAAUAUUGACAUCUAUUGAAUUUUAUUUGCAUUUUAUCUGCAAGAUUGUCACAAAUCUGGCCUAACAUUAUACAAGAAAAAUUGCUCUCCUGUAGCUCUGGGUUUUUGUCAGAUCAUUUUGUGUUCUCGUUUUGUUGGCCCAGAAUGAUAGGAAUGAUAGGAACUGAUGGAAUCAGAAAAAAGUUUAAGAAUUUAAAUGAUUAUUGGAAAGGUAUUUAUGGUGGAACAUUGCAUCUCAAAGCUCCAGGGUUUGAGUGUGUCUAGAGUCUGUGGUCUCCCUACAUGUUCUCCCCAUGUUCCUGUGAGUUUCCUGGUGGUUGGAGUCUGAGGUCUCCCUGCAUGUUCUCCCCAUGUUCCUGUGGGUUUCCUAGUGGUUCGAGUCUGAGGUCUCCCUGCAUGUUCUCCCCAUGUUCCUGUGAGUUUCCUAGUGGUUGGAGUCUGAGGUCUCCCUGCAUGUUCUCCCCAUGUUCCUGUGAGUUUCCUAGUGGUUGGAGUCUGAGGUCUCCCUGCAUGUUCUCCCCAUGUUCCUGUGAGUUUCCUAGUGGUUGGAGUCUGAGGUCUCCCUGCAUGUUCUCCCCAUGUUCCUGUGAGUUUCCUAGUGGUUGGAGUCUGAGGUCUCCCUGCAUGUUCUCCCCAUGUUCCUGUGGGUUUCCUAGUGGUUCGUCGGUUUCCUCCAUCAUCCCAAAACACUCCAGGUGGAUUGACUGUAAAUUGUUCCUAGAUGGUGGCCUUUCCAGGGUGUAUUCCCACCUCACGUCUAGCGUUCCCGGAAUAAGCUCAGGAUCCACAUCACCCCUGACCAAGCACACACAAUGAACUGUUCUUAUUUUAAAACUGCAUCGAUUUAUUUCUCAAGCUCAAAACAUGCCUUAAGACCUGUCCGUUCAGACGCUCCACUGUUGAAUAUCAACCCAAAUUGGUUUAGGUUUAAACUGACGAAGUGUCAUACGCAGUUAAAGAUUACCUGCCUUAGGAAAAGUUCUUUCCUGUCCUCUCCACACUGGCUGAGGAAAGUGUACCGAAGUCUUCA